CCUACGGGUGGCUGCAGUAGGGAAUGUUCGGCAAUGGGGGGAACCCUGACCGAGCAACGCCGCGUGAAGGAAGAAGUUAUUCGUAAUGUAAAGUUCUUUUAACAGGGAAGAAAGAGAAAUUUGACGGUACCUGAAGAAUAAGCUCCGGCUAACUACGUGCCAGCAGCCGCGGGAAUACGUAGGGAGCGAGCGUUAUCCGGAAUGAUUGGGCGGAAAGGGUGCGGAGAUGGCAUAGUAAGGCUUUUGGAAAAAUGCUGGGCUCAACCCAGUAGGGCAAAAGAUAAUGCAAAGCUAGAGUAUGACAGAGGCAAGUGGAACUCCAUGUGUAGCGGUCCAAUGCGUACAUAUAUGU
rnacentral:rRNA from 1 species